AUGGGAAAGACUAAAGAUCUCUUCAAGAAAAUUAGAGAUACCAAGGGAACAUUUCAUGCAAAGAUGGGCUCGAUAAAGGACAGAAAUGGUCUGGACAUAACAGAAGCAGAAGAUAUUAAGAAGAGAUGGCAAGAAUACACAGAAGAACUGUACAAAAAAGAUCUUCAUGACCCAGAUAAUCAUGAUGAUGUGAUCACUAAUCUAGAGCCAGACAUCUUGAAAUGUGAAGUCAAGUGGGCCUUAGAAAGCAUCACUACAAACAAAGCUAGUGGAGGUGAUGGAAUUCCAGUUGAGCUGUUUCAAAUCCUGAAAGAUGAUGCCGUGAAAGUGCUGCACACAAUAUGCCAGCAAGUUUGGAGAACUCAGCAGUGGCCACAGGACUGGAAAAGGUCAGUUUUCAUUCCAGUCCCAAAGAAAGGCAAUGCCAAAGAAUGCUCAAACUACUGCACAAUUACACUCAUCUCACAUGCUAGUAAAGUAAUGCUCAAAAUUCUCCAAGCCAGACUUCAGGAAUACAUGAACCGUGAACUCCCUGAUGUUCAAGCUGGUUUUAGAAACGGCAGAGGAACCAGAGAUCAAAUGGCCAACCUCCGUUGGAUCAUGGAAAAAGCAAGAGAGUUCCAGAAAAAUAUCUAUUUCUGCUUUAUUGACUAUGCCAAAGCCUUUGACUGUGUGGAUCACAAUCAACUGUGGAAAAUUCUGAGAGAGAUGGGAAUACCAGACCACCUGACCUGCCUCUUGAGAAAUCUGCAUGCAGGUCAGGAAGCAACAGUUAGAACUGGACAUGGAACAACAGACUGGUUCCAAAUAGGAAAAGGAGUGCGUCAUGGCUGUAUAUUGUCACCCUGCUUAUUUAACUUCUAUGCAGAGUACAUCAUGAGAAACGCUGGGCUGGAAGAAACACAAGCUGGAAUCAAGAUUGCCGGGAGAAAUCUCAAUAACCUCAGAUAUGCAGAUGACACUACCCUUAUGGCAGAAAGUGAAGAGGAGCUAAAAAGCCUCUUGAUGAAAGUGAAAGAGGAGAGUGAAAAAGUUGGCUUAAACCUCAACAUUCAGAAAAUGAAGAUCAUGGCAUUUGGUCCCAUCACUUCAUGGGAAAUAGAUGGGGAAACAGUAGAAACAGUGUCUUAUUUUUUGAGCUCCAAAAUCACUGCAGAUGGUGACUGCAGCCAUGAAAUUAAAAGAAGCUUACUCCUUGGAAGAAAAGUAAUGACCAACCUAGAUAGUAUAUUCAAAAGCAGAGACAUUACUUUGCCGACUAAGGUCCGUCUAGUCAAGGCUAUGGUUUUUCCUGUGGUCAUGUAUGGAAGUGAGAGUUGGACUGUGAAGAAGGCUGAGCGCUGA
rnacentral:lncRNA from 1 species